rnacentral:rRNA from 1 species
CGGGGUGCAGCAGGCGCGAAAACUUUACAAUGCUGGCAACAGCGAUAAGGGGACCUCGAGUGCCAGGAUACAAUCUUGGCUGUCGCGAUGCCUAAAAAGCAUUGCAUAGCAAGGGCCGGGCAAGACCGGUGCCAGCCGCCGCGGUAACACCGGCGGCUCGAGUGGUAACCGCUAUUAUUGGGUCUAAAGGGUCUGUAGCCGGCCGGAUAAGUCUUUUGGGAAAUCCAGCUGCUCAACAGUUGGGCUUUCAGAAGAUACUGUUCGGCUCGAGACCGGGAGAGGUGAGAGGUACUUCAGGGGUAGGGGUGAAAUCUUGUAAUCCUUGAAGGACCACCAGUGGCGAAGGCGUCUCACCAGAACGGAUCUGACGGCAAGGGACGAAAGCUAGGGGCACGAACCGGAUUAGAUACCCGGGUAGUCCUAGCCGUAAACGAUACUCGCUAGGUGUCAGCCACGGUGCGACCGUGGUUGGUGCCGUAGGGAAGCCGUGAAGCGAGCCACCUGGGAAGUACGGCCGCAAGGCUGAAACUUAAAGGAAUUGGCGGGGGAGCACAAGGGCGAUUCGCGG